rnacentral:rRNA from 1 species
UGGACUUCAGGGGGAGUAUGGUCACAAGGCUGAAACUUAAAGGAAUUGACGGAAGGGCACACCAGGAGUGGAGCCUGCGGCUUAAUUUGACUCAACACGGGAAAACUUACCAAGACCGAACAGUAGAAGGAAUGACAGAUUAAGAGUUCUUUCAUGAUUUAUUGGGUAGUGGUGCAUGGCCGUUCUUAGUUGGUGGAGUGAUUUGUCAGGUUAAUUCCGGUAACGAACGAGACUGAAACCUAUUAAUUAGUUUUCUGCCUAUAAGACAGAAAUGUUCGCAAGAACAGGUGCGUAAGUACCACUUCUUAAAGGGACACAUUUCAAUUGUCCUAUUUUAAUUGUAGUUAUCUAAUUUCGGUUAGACCUCU